rnacentral:other from 1 species
UAAAUUCUGCGAUGUUCGAAGAAUGCCUACUUAAUUCAACCGACAAAUUUAACACGGGAAACUGUGUAUCAGCGUCCUAUGACAAGCCGUCUUUGAGCGGAAGUCAGAAUACGCUAUCAAGUUUUUGACCCACCAUGAUAAUUGGCGGGUGUGAAUUAACUAGGUAACGGCAUUGCGGUUUUUAC